rnacentral:misc_RNA from 1 species
GGAACUUUAGCGUAGCUGAGUGUUUAUAUCGAUCAUCUCAAUUUCCGAUGCCAUUUCCAACCUCCACCACUUUGAAGAAGAUAAGAGCUCUGCAGUAAUGGCGAUUCCCAUUCCCAGCCGACAGCUGUUCAUCGACGGCGAGUGGAGGGAACCAGUCCUCAAGAACCGCAUCCCCAUCAUCAACCCCACUACUGAAGAAACAAUCGGAUCUAUUCCCGCGGCUACUGCGGAAGAUGUAGAGUUAGCAGUUGAUGCUGCUCGAAAAGCACUUGCGAGGAAUAAAGGCAAAGAUUGGGCCUCUGCUCCGGGAGCUCAUCGUGCCAAGUAUUUGCGUGCUA